GGGUUUAACAGGGAGGAAGGUGGGGAUGACGUCUAGUCAGCAUGGCUCUUACGCCUCGGGCUACACACGCGUUACAAUGGCCGGUACAAUGGGUUGCCAACCAGCAAUGGGGAGCUAAUCCCACCAAAACCGGUCCCAGUUCGGAUUGAGGGCUGCAACUCGCCCUCAUGAAGUCGGAAUCGCUAGUAAACGUAAAUCAGCAUGUUACGUUGAAUUCGUUCCCGGGUCUU
rnacentral:rRNA from 1 species